UAAGGAAUAUUGGUCAAUGGAGGCAACUCUGAACCAGCCAUGCCGCGUGCAGGAAGAAGGCCCUAUGGGUCGUAAACUGCUUUUGAACAAGAGAAAACCCCGGUACGUGUACUGGGUUGAUAGUAUUGUUAGAAUAAGCAUCGGCUAACUUCGUGCCAGCAGCCGCGGUAAUACGUAGGGACCAAGCGUUGUUCGGAUUUACUGGGCGUAAAGGGCGCGUAGGCGGGCAGUUAAGUCAGGGGUGAAAGCCCGAGGCUCAACCUCGGAAUUGCCUCUGAUACUGGCUGUCUAGAGUUCGAGAGAGGUGAGUGGAAUUCCUAGUGUAGAGGUGAAAUUCGUAGAUAUUAGGAAGAACACCGGUGGCGGAGGCGGCCACCUGGUUGGAUACUGACGCUGAGACGCGAAAGCGUGGGGAGCAAACAGGAUUAGAUACCCAAGUAGUCCCUGAGCGGGCUGGCAAGGCGCAU
rnacentral:rRNA from 1 species